rnacentral:rRNA from 1 species
UACAGAGGGUGCAAGCGUUGUUCGGAAUUAUUGGGCGUAAAGAGCACGUAGGCGGGCUUACCUGCCAAUUGUGAAAUCCCCGAGCUUAACUUGGGAAUUGCAGUUGGAACAGUAAGUCUUGAAUGUCUCAGAGGGUGACGGAAUUCCUGGUGUAGAAGUGAAAUUCAUAGAUAUCAGGAGGAACACCGGAGGCGAAGGCGGUUGCCUGGGGGUACAUUGACGCUGAGGUGCGAAAGCGUGGGUAGCAAACAGG